rnacentral:rRNA from 1 species
UAACUAUAAUUAUUUCUUUUAAAGUACCCGAAAUAAAAAGAUCGAAAGAGUUAUGCAUUUUAGGGUUUAAUUAAAUAUGUGGCAAAAUAUUAUGAUAAUAACUUUUUAGGGGAGACACUCCAACAAUUUUUAUGAUAACUGGAUUAAGGGGAAAAGUAUUAAGUACUAUAAACAAUUAUAAAGUGAUAAGAUUUUAUAAAUUAAAUAAGGCUUUUUUUCGAAAUAUUAGGGCUAAUCCUCUACAUAUUUUGACUUACAUUAACAUUCUUAAAAUAUAUCUUUUUAUUAUUACCCUAAAUUAAAUGUAAAUUAAAUUCUUUUAUUUAUAAUGUUUAAAUUAGUAACUUGUUAUUAAUAAUUUUUAAUAAGGAAUUCGGCAAAUCAUAUAUUCGACUGUUUAACAAAAACAUAGUCCGCUGCUAUUUAUAGUGGAUGGUUACUGCCCGGUGAUUUUAUUUAACGGCCGCAGUACCUUGACUGUGCAAAGGUAGCAUAAUAAUUUGGCCUUUAAAUGGGGUCUAGAAUGAAAGGACUUACGGAUAGAAGCUGUCUCGUUUUAAUUAAAGAAAACUUAUUAAAAAGGUGCAAAUACCUUUAUGCUUAUACAAUAGACGAGAAGACCCUUAGAAUUUUAUUUAAUAUGGGAAAUUUCUUAUUUUUAUUUUGUUGGGGCAACAAAGUAGCAUAUGCUUGAAUCUACUUUAAUAAAAUUAGGUAAGCCGACUAUUUGUAUGGACAUGUAAAUUACCUAAGGGAUAACAGCAUAAUUUAGUAAAGAUUGUGACCUCGAUGUUGGAUUAGGGCCAUAAUGAUUCACCCAAUUUUUAUGUUAGUUCUGUUCGAACUUUAUUACCUACAUGAUCUGAGUUCA